AUUGAACGCUGGCGGAAUGCUUUACACAUGCAAGUCGAACGGCAGCACGGGGGCAACCCUGGUGGCGAGUGGCGAACGGGUGAGUAAAGCAUCGGAACGUACCGUGUAGUGGGGGAUAACGUAGCGAAAGUUACGCUAAUACCGCAUACGCACUGAGGUGGAAAGCAGGGGAUCGAAAGACCUUGCGCUAUACGAGCGGCCGAUGUCAGAUUAGCUAGUUGGUAGGGUAAAGGCCUACCAAGGCGACGAUCUGUAGCGGGUCUGAGAGGAUGAUCCGCCACACUGGGACUGAGACACGGCCCAGACUCCUACGGGAGGCAGCAGUGGGGAAUUUUGGACAAAUGGACGGCAAGUCUGAUCCAGCAAUGCCGCGUGCAGGACGAAGGCCUCGGUUGGUAACGUAG
rnacentral:rRNA from 1 species